UUUAGUUGCAAAUUUUUCAACAUUUUAUACACUACGAAAACCAUCGCGAAAGCGAGUUUUGAUAGGAAAUUUAAGAGUAUGAGCACUAUCGAAGAACGCGUUAAGAAA
rnacentral:sRNA from 1 species